ensembl:rRNA 5S_rRNA 5S ribosomal RNA
GUUUACAAACAUACUACCCUGAACAUGUCCGAUCUGGUCUAAUCUUGGACGCUAAGCAGGGUCGGGCCUGGCUAGUACUUGGAUGGGAGAGGGGACAGACAUUAUAACUC